CAGGGACUGGUUACACACCUAUGACUUUGGAAAGUUCAGCUGACAAGCAGUGACUUCCAGCUGCCAAGACAGUGCUCCACUGCCAAGCCAAAGACAUCUUUGCAUGUACCUUCCAUUUUUCUCUAUUAAAACUCCAUUUGUUACAAUACAUUCACAGUUGCCUGGGGUCUCUUCUGAAGAAACUCCAGGAUGUAAUUCCAGUGUCACCUGUGUUUUAAGACCCCAUUUAAUAGGUAUAACCCCUAAACCCACCACGGUUACAAAUGGAAAUUGCAGGGAUAUGUACCUUCUGAAUCCCACUGGGUGUGACAAGUCUUAGACAAGACUUGUGGGAAGCAGUGACAAAAUCUACCUCCAAUCAAUGUUUCAGAGGAGGUGCAACAAGCUCCUUGAUCCAUUGUCCUCAUGGAUAGAAAAGCUACCUUAGGAUGAGCCAGGCACUUUUUUUCCCCAUGGUCUCCAGGCAGACAGCUCAGUGUCCUCUUACUGGUGAGUGCUUAAGAUUUCACAGCUUUCUGCAAGCAGAAUAUCAAACACCAUGGAUUUCUGGUGUCUCCAGAGAAAGGCAGCUGCUGCAUUGCAUAUUUCUAAGUUUUGUCUUGAGGGAGGAUAUACCAGGCCUGACAUUUCGGAGGUACUGUCACAUUGCAGCAAAGUUUUAUUGUGGGAAAGGAAAGCUUUCAGUGAUAACCCCUGUGUGA
rnacentral:lncRNA from 1 species